rnacentral:rRNA from 1 species
CUCCCGGUUGAUCUGCCCGGACCCGACUGCUAUCAGAGUGGGACUGAGCCCAUGUGAGUCAACAUAGCAAUAUGUGGCAUACGGCUCAGUAACACGUAGUCAACAUGCCCAGGGGACGUGGAUAACCUCGGGAAACUGAGGAUAAACCGCGAUAGGUCAUCACUUCUGGAAUGGGUAAUGACUUAAAUCUAUAUGGCCCCUGGAUUGGACUGCGGCCGAUCAGGCUGUUGGUGAGGUAAUGGCCCACCAAACCUGUAACCGGUACGGGCUCUGAGAGGAGGAGCCCGGAGAUGGGCACUGAGACAAGGGCCCAGGCCCUAUGGGGCGCAGCAGGCGCGAAACCUCUGCAAUAGGCGAAAGCUUGACAGGGUUACUCUGAGUGAUUUCCGUUAAGGAGAUCUUUUGGCACCUCUAAAAAUGGUGCAGAAUAAGGGGUGGGCAAGUCUGGUGUCAGCCGCCGCGGUAAUACCAGCACCCCGAGUGGUCGGGACGUUUAUUGGGCCUAAAGCAUCCGUAGCCGGUUCUACAAGUCUUCCGUUAAAUCCACCUGCUUAACAGAUGGGCUGCGGAAGAUACUAUAGAGCUAGGAGGCGGGAGAGGCAAGCGGUACUCGAUGGGUAGGGGUAAAAUCCGUUGAUCCAUUGAAGACCACCAGUGGCGAAGGCGGCUUGCCAGAACGCGCUCGACGGUGAGGGAUGAAAGCUGGGGGAGCAAACCGGAUUAGAUACCCGGGUAGUCCCAGCUGUAAACGAUGCAGACUCGGUGAUGAGUUGGCUUAUUGCUAACUCAGUGCCGCAGGGAAGCCGUUAAGUUUGCCGCCUGGGGAGUACGGUCGCAAGACUGAAACUUAAAGGAAUUGCCGGGGGAGCA